rnacentral:rRNA from 1 species
UGAGGGAAUAUUUGGGUCAAUGGACGCAAGUCUGAACCAGCCAUGCCGCGUGAAGGAAUAAGGCCCUAUGGGUCGUAAACUUCUUUUGUAUGUGAGCAAUAAGGUCCACGUGUGGACCGAUGAGAGUAGCAUACGAAUAAGCCACGGCUAACUACGUGCCAGCAGCCGCGGUAAUACGUAGGUGGCAAGCGUUGUCCGGAUUUACUGGGUGUAAAGGGCGUGUAGCCGGGAGGGCAAGUCAGAUGUGAAAUCCACGGGCUCAACUCGUGAACUGCAUUUGAAACUACUCUUCUUGAGUAUCGGAGAGGCAAUCGGAACUCCUAGUGUAGCGGUGAAAUGCGUAGAUAUUAGGAGGAACACCAGUGGCGAAGGCGGAUUGCUGGACGACA